rnacentral:rRNA from 1 species
CCUACGGGUGGCAGCAGUGGGGAAUAUUGGACAAUGGGGGCAACCCUGAUCCAGCCAUGCCGCGUGUGUGAAGAAGGCCCUCGGGUUGUAAAGCACUUUCAGUGAGGAAGAACGCCUGGUGGUUAAUACCCAUCAGGAAAGACAUCACUCACAGAAGAAGCACCGGCUAACUCCGUGCCAGCAGCCGCGGUAAUACGGAGGGUGCGAGCGUUAAUCGGAAUUACUGGGCGUAAAGCGCGCGUAGGUGGCUUGAUAAGCCGGUUGUGAAAGCCCCGGGCUCAAACUGGGAACGGCAUCCGGAACUGUCAAGCUAGAGUGCAGGAGAGGAAGGUAGAAUUCCCGGUGUAGCGGUGAAAUGCGUAGAGAUCGGGAGGAAUACCAGUGGCGAAGGCGGCCUUCUGGACUGACACUGACACUGAGGUGCGAAAGCGUGGGUAGCAAACAGGAUUAGAUACCCUGGUAGUC